CCAGAGAGACUGAGAAUCAUCCGCAAAAUGUCCAGCUUCCGGAGACAGCCCCUUGGAUCCCUUUUAGGUGGAGAGGUGAGGACGGAUGCUGAGUUAGAACACAUGGCUAGCAGGGUAUUGGCUGUGGUUCUACAGGGGGUCUGGACUAUGACAUCAGAAGACACCAGCGACCCUGAGAUGGGGGCUCUUCUCUCAGGCAUUCUCAAGAACAUCCCCAUGGUGUUGAAUUCUGCUGCAGCUAGAGAAAGCUCUGAAAGUCAGAGUCUCUUGGAGAUGGUUGACAUUGGACAGAGAAUCAACCCAGGGUCUUUCCUCUCAGAUGAGCACAUCAGCCGUAUUUGCUCAGACAUGGUGACCAGCGCGUACAGCACCGCCAGGUUCUCUGUGUUGGAGGACAAAUCUCUAGGCUUCACUGAUGACAGAACCCUGUCUCCUCCAUCACCGCUGUGUCAGAAGUCCCAGUGCUGCCUGACGGCUGGGGAAGAGACAGGCAGGGCUCCCUCUCUCUCAUGUUCCUCACACUGCAGCCAGACGUCAGGGCAAAGUACUGCCUCCUCCUCCUCUGGUCGUCAGAGUCCAGACGAGUUCUUCACUCCUGAGGUGAAGCAGAGGAUUAUCAUGGCUGUGGAGGAGAUCAUCACAGAGGGCAGUGAGGACGAAGCCUCUGGAUCCACUGAGCUGUGUGAAGCUGUGUCACUAGGUUCUCGCCGCACCACUCCCACUACCAGCCUGGCAGCCAGCAACAUUUUGUCUGUUGUUCUGCACAGCCUAAAGGACACUAUUGGUGCUGUUCUGUCCAAAGAGGUCGCCAGGCCAGAGUUGGAAAAGGCUAUCAGCCAAAGCCUGGUCAACUCUGUGAUGGUGACCCUGAAAAGUCUGCUGAUGCUAGAUGCCCAGUUUCCUGUGGUGCAGGGGGACAACUCAACCCUGAAGACCACAGAGCAGAUCCCAAAUGGAACUAUGGAGACCCCAGAGCUGAUCCCAGCUAUAACCAUGGAGAGCUCAGAGCUGAUCCCAGCUGUAACCAGGGAGACCUCAGAGCUGAUCCCAGACAGAACAAUGGAGACUCCAGGGUGUUCCUCAGACAUAGCUGUGGAUAAGAACCACAUCUCCCUCCAAGAUGAGGACAUGGCUUAUGAGGCCAACAUCACCGCCAACUCUAUCUUUUCCUCCAUCGUGGAUCUGGUGAAUCCCAAAAUGGUCAGAAGGUCCACCUCAUCCAGUGGGGGCUCUCAGUAUACAUGCCCCAUGCGUGCCUUCCUGGACUCCAAGGACCUAGCAGGGUUCCUUCGGAGUCCUAACCUCCGCCGCUUCUCUCAGCAACUGAUCUGGCACGUGGCGCAACUGAUCCUGGAGUCUAAAAUGGCGAAGACGAAGUCUGUGAGAAAGUGUUUUUCAUACACGACAGUUGACAACCGGAGUGGAGGCCUUGACUUGUCCACAGAGUUCCCUAAUGAGCUCCUCUACAGCUUUGUGGAGGGGGCGGUCAAGAACCUUUUGGAGACCUUCCUGAGUGUUCCACACAGCCCUCCUGUGGAAUCCUUCAUGGAAGAUUACAGCUGCAUGGAAGAGAGGAACUGGGUGGUCUCUCCCACCCUCUCUCGAAGCAGUAGUGCAUGCCUGGAGAAUGAUAAUGACUCCACAAUCACACAACAGUCAGGUGAAGUGGGCAUCAUCAAGCCCAGCUCUAGGAAAACCAUCAAUGCUCUUCUAUCUGACAUGCUCAUUGACAGUGUCAGAGAACUUCUCCAAGAGGGUCGUGAUGAGGGUGAGCUUGAUCAGACUGCUGCCAGAGUGGACGAAUGUCUCCAAGAGGCUUGUGAUGAUGACGAGGUUGAACGUACUUCAAACAACGCUUGCAUGAUGCCGGCCAUGAUGAUGCCGGCCACUAAUAGUGAUGUCACUGGCUGUGAGAAGAACCCUGACUCCCUUUGGAUGACAGGGGAACUGGACGAGUGCAGAGCUGAAUCAGUGGACUCAGCCGACACAGAGCACAGCACCUCAUCCUUCAGGCAGUCAAUUCCCAGGCAGACUUCCUUCAAGGCAUCAGAUGCCUCCUCACUGGCCUCACUGGAGACGGUGGUAAACCUCAGCUCUGCUAACAAUGCUGCAUUAACAGCUGACCGUCAGAACAUGGCCGUAACUCAGAGCAGGACAGGGGCAGCAGGUCACAAAGGCUGGUACUGCAUCCCCUGCUGCCACACUGCUGAGGGGACUCCCACUGAGCAGCCUAAGGUGCCUACAACUCUAUCGAAGACAGCAAAGUUUCAGAACAAACGCCAGAAGAAAUCAUCCAAGCCUUGUAAAGGAAAGAAAUUCAAUAAUUCAGUGGCACCCCUACAUGUUUCAGCUGCUGCAGAGAAACCCAAGAAACCCUUGUUUGGCUCCCGCUUGUCCGCUGCCUUCGUCAGGUUAUUUUUUGGAUGCUGUGGUAUGAAGAAGAAGAUCAGACAGUAGAGAAUCAUAUCAGCCACAAAGGUUAACACCAGACAUAUUUCAACGCUGGGUUUAAAUAGUAAAACCCACAUAAAUAAAUAAACAAACAUAAUUGCACUCAAGUUCAAACAUACCACAGCUUUAACUUUAUUGAUCGUCUCCCGACAAAGUCCACCACAUCUACAUCAGAUCUUUCACAAACAAGCAACAAACAGGAAAUAAUUAUGUACAUUUAUCCCUAAUUAAUUAUCUGAUUAAUUUAAUCAAAAAUCAUUACAUCAAAAGCAUUACAACAAUUUUUUUUUCCAACUCUGUAUUAGCACACAAAGACCACAUCAUUUUUACACAAUGUCUAUAUAAUUGGUAGUUUUAUCCCGUUAGCCCAGUUUAUCUUUAUAAUUGUUGGUCACACUUUAUUUUUAUAGCCCCAUAUAGAUGAACUACAGAUGGUUAUAGUAUCAACUAAGUAGCUGUUGAUAAGCAAAUG
ensembl:lncRNA